ACAGAGGGUAAGUCACCAGUAGAAUAUGAGGAGGUCUUUAAACAGAGGGUAAGUCACCAGUAGAAUAUGAGGAGGUCCUUAAACAGAGGGUAGGUCAUCAGAAGAAUGAGGUCUUUAAACAGAGGGUAGGUCAUCAGUAGAAUGAGGUCUUUAAACAGAGGGUAGGUCAUCAGUAGAAUAUGAGGAGGUCUAUAAACAGAGGGUAGGUCAUCAGUAGAAUGAGGUCUUUAAACAGAGGGUAGGUCAUCAGUAGAAUGAGGUCUUUAAACAGAGGGUAGGUCAUCAGUAGAAUAUGAGGAGGUCCUUAAACAGAGGGUAGGUCAUCAGUAGAAUAUGAGGAGGUCUUUAAACAGAGGGUAGGUCAUCAGUAGAAUAUGAGGAGGUCCUUAAACAGAGGGUAGGUCAUCAGAAGAAUGAGGUCUUUAAACAGAGGGUAGGUCAUCAGUAGAAUGAGGUCUUUAAACAGAGGGUAGGUCAUCAGUAGAAUGAGGUCUUUAAACAGAGGGUAGGUCAUCAGUAGAAUAUGAGGAGGUCUAUAAACAGAGGGUAGAUCAUCAGUAGAAUGAGGAAGUCCUUAAACAGAGGGUAGGUCAUCAGUAGAAUGAGGUCUUUAAACAAAGGGUAGGUCAUCAGUAGAAUAUGAGGAGGUCCUUAAACAGAGGGUAGGUCAUCAGUAGAAUA